rnacentral:rRNA from 1 species
UACACUCCUACGGGAGGCAGCAGUGGGGAAUUUUGGACAAUGGGCGAAAGCCUGAUCCAGCAAUGCCGCGUGUGUGAAGAAGGCCUUCGGGUUGUAAAGCACUUUUGUCCGGAAAGAAAUCCUUGGCUCUAAUACAGUCGGGGGAUGACGGUACCGGAAGAAUAAGCACCGGCUAACUACGUGCCAGCAGCCGCGGUAAUACGUAGGGUGCGAGCGUUAAUCGGAAUUACUGGGCGUAAAGCGUGCGCAGGCGGUUUGCUAAGACCGAUGUGAAAUCCCCGGGCUCAACCUGGGAACUGCAGUGGUGACUGGCAGGCUAGAGUAUGGCAGAGGGGGGUAGAAUUCCACGUGUAGCAGUGAAAUGCGUAGAGAUGUGGAGGAAUACCGAUGGCGAAGGCAGCCCCCUGGGCCAAUACUGACGCUCAUGCACGAAAGCGUGGGGAGCAAACAGGAUUAGAUACCCGAGUAGUCCCAUG